AUGAACAGUGAUAUUUAUUAUUAAAUUAAUUAAUACCUAUUAACUUAACUUACGUGACUUAUUAUUGUGCACGUGUUUCACCCUCCUUUCCUUCCAUUUUCUCAAAAGAGAUAUACAGGCACAGAGAGAAAAGGGAGAAAGACAGAGGCGGAAGACAAUAGAGAGAGCCGGAGCCGGCGAAUCUCCGGCAAACGACCCCACGCGUGCUCGCCUCACACCCACAGAGACGAAGUCGUCGAGUCUAGGGUUUCCCGGCUAGGGUUCCGAUCAAGUUCUCGCCAUUUCUGGUUACCUGCGGUGAGGUUCCGGCGAAGAUUUCGGUACCGCUCGGAUUGGGUUAGUCUGUGUUGUUCGCUAUCACACUUCAUCAUCAGAUUCGGUCUUGUCCGGUCAUCAGGCGAAGCGGGUUUUGGUGAUCAUAUAGGUAUGGCUCUGGAGUAGGGUUUGUUGGUGAAAAAGGCAGUCGACCGAUGCAUUGUUGUUGUUCAGGUCAAGAUUGAACUGUGUGUACAUGUUUGCUCUACGUACAGGUAUUGUAUAUAACACAGGUACAGUGGGGUUAUGGAUUUCGUGAAAGCCACACUUGAGAGUGACACAAGAUAUUAUUUUUUUCUUAGGUGCUCGCUUCCGAAGCUAGAAGAAAACAUAAAACCAGGGGCAACACAACUUCUGCAGGUUUAUUUGGAAGUCAGGCGGCCAAAACAAUUAGAACUAUAGAUACAACGAUUAACUGCUAUUUUGCAAAUUUCCCUUUACAUAAAGAACUAUCUACAGGUCCAACAAGAAUAGAGUUUUCUCAUCGACUAGAAAAGGUGGGAGUGACCUUGAGCCAGUGGCAGAGGAGUUGCCAGCCAAUCAUGAAUUGGCUCAACUUAACUUUCUGAACAGGAAUCGUCACCUGAAUGAUGUUUUAAUUGUCCGGAUCCAAUAAGAAGAGAAUUUUCUUAUUGACUAGAAAAAGUGGGAUAGACUUGGACCAACAGCGGCAGAGUUCAGUGGUCCCAGUUUCAAGUUGACUCGACUUUCUGAAAAUGAAUUGUCAGCUGAAUAUGGGUCAAAUAGAUGGGUCAAAUGGGUAAAAGUUAUUUCUAGCAGACUGGUAUGUUUAAUUCAGCAUCGAGAUGUCCGCGUUUGAGGUUUGAUCAGAGUCGACUUGAUAGAAACGCACUGGAGGAUGGGGUUACACCAACACUGAACAAACUCACAAGUCUUGGCAAGUUAUGGCAUUAUGGAAUUUGGAUCACUUAAAAGGAGGCUACCAAAAACCUUAUUCAAUCUAUUUGGAAUUCAACAAGUGUAAGAACAACAAAAACCAUCUGUAGAUGAUCAACUUGAAAUGCCGAUGUGGAGGCAAUGGAAGGUAUACAGGUGAAGGUAUUAGUGACACGAAGAAAACUAGGUGUCCGGACGUAUGAAGCAAAUGGAAAUGAAAAAAAAACUUUUGUGAUCUAUAUAUAAGCGGAAGACUGUAUAUAUUAAAACCUAUGUAUUUGUCUUAAACGCCCCGUUGAAACAUAUCAACAUCCCUUUGUAUCAACUUCAUUAGUGUAAAAUGAUCAACUUCAUUAGCGCAAGUAAAUUUUAAACCG
rnacentral:lncRNA from 1 species